UACGGGGGGUGCAAGCGUUGUCCGGAAUUACUGGGCGUAAAGGGCUCGUAGGUGGCCAACUAAGUCAGACGUGAAAUCCCUCAGCUUAACUGGGGAACUGCGUCUGAUACUGGAUGGCUUGAGUUUGGGAGAGGGAUGCGGAAUUCCAGGUGUAGCGGUGAAAUGCGUAGAUAUCUGGAGGAACACCGGUGGCGAAGGCGGCAUCCUGGACCAACACUGACACUGAGGAGCGAAAGCCAGGGGAGCAAACGGG
rnacentral:rRNA from 1 species